UGCAAAGAUGUCCACCGCUUGUCAGUGGUC
rnacentral:piRNA from 1 species